UAAUAUUUUAAAUCUCUAAGAACACAUUUUAAACUCUUACCAAACGAAAGUUUUGUUGCAAAAUUAGCGUUUAAAAUACUUAAAAUAUUUAUGCAUUGAAAGAAAACAUUUGUUUUUUGUUAAAUCUAUUUAUUUUCCGCCAUGAGCUUGUCAGUUGAUUUAAAAUUGUAGCCGUUUAUGAUCCAAAUUCACCGACUUGAACAACGAUGAGGACAUGGAAACAGAUGCUUUUAUAGAAAGUGUGGAAAGCUUUCUAACCAUAAUGCCUACCACUUUGGGUUUUUUCCUAUCUCAAAUUCUUUGUGGGCACAUGCAUCCCUUAACAACACGCCGAUUCCUGCUAGAGUUUGUUUUCAUUGGAAUACCAACUGUGAUUUUUAUCACCGUGGGCAGCGAUUAUAGUUAUGUAUAUUCAGCUCUGAUAGCCGCAGUUAUUAUGUGUUAUCUUUAUGGAAGUAGCUGGCCUUCAAAAACCCGCAUAUUUGAAAUCGGCAAACGUCCAAUUGUCUUCUCUCUAAUCAGAGCCACUGCCUACAAUGGAACCUGUGCUGCCAUUCUGGCCGUGGACUUUAAAUGUUUUCCAAAUGAGUACAGCAAGAGUGUAUUUUAUGGAUCUUCUGCUAUGGACAUGGGCAUUGGAUUAUUUGUGAUGACCAUGGGAUUGGUGUCUAAUCGAGCCAGGAAUUUGGCUGAUCUGAGAAAACUUCCAAGAUCAGUGGUUCCUUUGAUGAUUUUGGGUGUUGCACGUACCUUUUUUGUGUUUCUAAGUGGAUAUUCUGUGGAUGAAAAUGACUAUGGUCGGCAUUUAAAUGCUUUCUUUAUUCUGGGAUUCACUAAAUUGAUGGGUAGUGUGUAUAGUUUACUGGCUAAAUCGGAUGGGCAGCUUCUGGGACUAGCUUUGGGAUUGCUUGUUCUACAUGAAAUAGUGCUUCAGCUGGGUAUUUACGAUUUUGUACAGGAAUAUGAAGUAAGAAGACAGGAUAUUUUCAGUGUCAAUCGGGAAGGUUUGAGUUCCCUUCACGGCAGCGUUUCUCUCUACUUGCUGAGUAUGUGCUUCUCAAAGUGGUACACUGCCAAGAAUGACUUAAGUUACCCCCAGUUAUGCAGCAAAAUAAGAACAAUUUUAGCUAUUUCUGUUAUCAGUUGGCUACUAGUUCUCUUAUUCACCACUUUUUGGGACGUUUGUCGUGUAACCUUUAAUUCCGGCUAUGUUAUCUGGAUUUUUGCCAUCAGUGUGAGCCUUAUCCUGAUUUAUGCUUUCUUCUUUCAAUUGGCACUUUCGAAACCUUCUGUCGAAAAGCGCUAUACAUCUCUGGAGCUGAGAAAUAGUACUGAUGAUCAAAUAGAUUCACUGCCUACCUAUGCGAGGAGCCUGAACAUGAAUGGCCUAACCCACUUUAUAAUCUCCAACUUGCUAACUGGAUUGGUUAAAACUUUCCUUAAGCCCGAAAAACGAAAUCAUCUGGAAUGCGUUGGUAUAAUGUCUGUCUACAUGUUUAUCAGUGCUGGAGUGGUCUUUAUGAUGCUAAAAAAUCGAGUUGGAAUAUCUUAAUUGGCGCAUUCUUAAUAAUCACACAAAUGCUAAGAGAUUUAAAUGCAGUCCUACCUAUAGUAAUGGAAACCAUUAAGAUACGAACAAAAUAAAUGAUAUCCUAUGGCACAAAGAUAGUUGUCUUUAGUAUUACUUUUAAACUAUAAAUUCAUAAAAACUGUAGUUCUAGUGUUUCCCAGGUGCUCAAGACCCCUGAAACAAUCAAAACUCACUGCACUUUCCCUUAAAUUCUAUCUAUCGUUUAGUAAUUAGCUUCAACUUGUCCCGACAGAAAUUCAAAUGAAUUGGAAAAGAUAGAGAAUGCUCCUCCAUGGAGUUCUCCCCUUCUCGGCUUCUGUGAGUGACUGCCCUCUGGCUUUUCAAGUUAAGUGGAUUGUGUAAAAUUGAUGGAACUUCUGUUGGUUUUUGCCCCAUUCCCUACCCUAUUUUCCACUAUGUUUGUUUGUUUGGCUAUCCGCCGCCUGUCGGUUGCCACUUGCAAUUUCUUGUUCUCGCACUUGACAAAUGCACAAAUGAAAAAUCAAAUAGUCCGGCGAGCGCAUUGCAUCUGUCGGAUAAGAAGAUGAGUCGGCCAGAAAACCACUCGGUGGUGGAGUGAGCAAUCCCGGUUUCUAUAUCAAUAGCCCGGCAAUUUUUCAGCAGCACAGCAGAUGUGACCGCCACUGAAGGACAUCAAAAUCCGGCUCAACCGCAAGUUAAGAAACUCAAACGGGCAUUUUGGUAAAUAUUUGUAUGCCUGGGUCAGUUGUAAAGUUACUUAAUGGAUAGACAGUCGUUAAGGUUUAAAGUGGGAUAUUUAUAUCCUGAAGCCACACAAUUUUGUCAAGUCAGAAAAUUGGGCCCCAAGGAAGAACAUUAGUCAAGGAAGCUUUUGAAGAAAAUAAAAACAAGUUUUCAGCAUGUGUUUUCAAUUGAAUCUGUAACUGAAAUUAGAAAAAAAUCUUACAUUACAUAUAUUGAACCUA